CUGAACUUAAGCAUAUCAAUAAGCGGAGGAAAAGAAACCAACAGGGAUUGCCUUAGUAACGGCGAGUGAAGCGGCAACAGCUCAAAU
rnacentral:rRNA from 1 species